CCUACGGGAGGCAGCAGUGGGGGAUAUUGCACAAUGGGGGGAACCCUGAUGCAGCGACGCCGCGUGGGUGAAGGAGUGCUUCGGCAUGUAAAGCCCUAUCGGCAGGGAAGAAGCAAGACGGUACCUGACUAAGAAGCCCCGGCUAACUACGUUCCAGCAGCCGCGGUAAUACGUAGGGGGCGAGCGUUAUCCGGAUUCACUGGGUGUAAAGGGAGCGUAGACGGCCAUGCAAGCCAGGGGUGAAAGCCCGGGGCCCAACCCCGGGACUGCCCUUGGAACUGUGCGGCUAGAGUGCGGGAGGGGCAGGCGGAAUGCCUGGUGUAGCGGUGAAAUGCGUAGAUAUCAGGAGGAACACCGGCGGCGAAGGCGGCCUGCUGGACUGCGACUGACGUUGAGGCUCGAAAGCGUGGGGAGCGAACAGGAUUAGAUACCCUUGUAGUC
rnacentral:rRNA from 1 species